GUUCAAACGUGUGCGCUUCCAAACUCUUUCUUCACAGUCAUGCAGAUUUUGACACUUGGCUUGUACGUAUGUUUUAUGCUUUUAACCAAUUACAAUAUGCUAUUUUUAUCAAUCGACAAACUUGUCGAGUAGCAAUAGAUUGACGAUUAUAUUCCUGUUGAUAUAUUAUAUAUUUUGAUAUAAUAAACUGUUAUACAUCAACAUCU